rnacentral:tRNA from 1 species
GCCUGGGUGGCUCAGUCGGUUGAGCAUCCGACUUCGGCUCAGGUCAUGAUCUCGCGGUCUGUGAGUUCGAGACCCACGUCAGGCU